ensembl:snoRNA
CUGGCCCUGAAUCAAGGCUGGCAGUUUCCUGAUGGUGUUUCAAGCAGGAGCCUAAAGAGAUGUCUUUCGAUGGUCUGUUGGCCAUUUCAGAACUUGGGCAGUGAAAUGGUCAAUUCAUUAGAAAGAAACAGCU